rnacentral:rRNA from 1 species
GAGGAAUAUUGGGCAAUACCCGCAAGGGUGACCCAGCAACGCCGCGUGGAGGAUGAAUGUCGUAAGAUUGUAAACUCCUGUUAGAGGGGAAGAAUAGUACCGGUUGGACCGGUAUAUGACUGUACCCUCAGAGAAAGCCCCGGCUAACUACGUGCCAGCAGCCGCGGUAAUACGUAGGGGGCAAGCGUUGUCCGGAUUUACUGGGUGUAAAGGGCGCGCAGGCGGGAUAAAAAGUCAGUGGUGAAAUCCUACAGCUUAACUGUAGAACUGCCUUUGAUACUUUUAGUCUUGAGUUCGGGAGAGAGAGACGGAAUUCCAGGUGUAGUGGUGAAAUACGUAGAUAUCUGGAAGAACACCAGUUGCGAAGGCGGUCUCUUGGUCCGACACUGACGCUGAGGCGCGAAAGCGUGGGGAGCAAACA